UCAAAGAGGCAACUUGCCAUGAAAUCCGCUAAUGCACCGCGACUCACCGGGGCCGUCUGCUUAGCAGCCCGAAGCCCUCCGGGAGGAUAUUGGGUCGAUAUUUGGGGGCAGCCGUCGAGGGCAGAGGGCAAAGGAGCGGCUUCUCCAUAUAGGGAGCGAAGGAUCUCAGGUUGCCAGAAAGAGAAGAGAGUUCUGGACCUGAUGAAAUGGCCGAACCUUGCUCAGCGGAAGGAACCAAGGUGGAAAACACCAAUAUGGGGAGGGGUGUCAACUCUCCACAAGAAACCCUAACUGGACUCCACCUGUGCUCUAUAUGAAUCUGGGAAGCAAUGGGAAAAACUAAGAGUUUGGGAAGGGCGGGAAGACUGGGUCCAGAUAUAUGGGGCUUCUGAUCUCACUGGGGUUCAGAGCUCAUAUCCUCACACAGAACUGUGUUUUGUUGGGGAAGAAUGUAGUGAGGGGCCAGAAUUCACUGACAAUCAACCAGUGCAGGAGUCCUUUGGGUAACACUGUUCUCCCCAAGAAAAGAUCCCCACAGCUUUGCUAGGAAAAAAGCUUAGAAUUGAAGACAAACUGAGGGGGAAUACUAGAAAGAAAACUUCAUCUCAGGAAUUCAGUCUUUUCUAAGGGAAUAGAAAAACUCUUGGGAUCUCCCAAGCUGGGCUAAGGGAAAAGCUCCGUAGCAGAAAAAGACAUCUGAGGUCAAGGGGUGAGCAUCAGGGCUGAAGAACAGAGAAAGGUCAAAGAGAACAAAAUAGCCAAAUAAAAAGAGUGAGAAAGACUAAAAACA
rnacentral:lncRNA from 1 species